rnacentral:rRNA from 1 species
CGACGAUCAGUAGCCGGCCUGAGAGGGCGACCGGCCACAUUGGGACUGAGACACGGCCCAAACUCCUACGGGAGGCAGCAGUGGGGAAUAUUGCACAAUGGGGGAAACCCUGAUGCAGCGACGCCGCGUGAGCGAAGAAGUAUUUCGGUAUGUAAAGCUCUAUCAGCAGGGAAGAUAAUGACGGUACCUGACUAAGAAGCCCCGGCUAACUACGUGCCAGCAGCCGCGGUAAUACGUAGGGGGCAAGCGUUAUCCGGAUUUACUGGGUGUAAAGGGAGCGUAGACGGCAAGGCAAGUCUGAUGUGAAAACCCAGGGCUUAACCCUGGGACUGCAUUGGAAACUGUCUGGCUCGAGUGCCGGAGAGGUAAGCGGAAUUCCUAGUGUAGCGGUGAAAUGCGUAGAUAUUAGGAAGAACACCAGUGGCGAAGGCGGCUUACUGGACGGUAACUGACGUUGAGGCUCGAAAGCGUGGGGAGCAAACAGGAUUAGAUACCCUGGUAGUCCACGCCGUAAAC